UACGGAGGGCGCAAGCGUUGUUCGGAAUCACUGGGCGUAAAGCGCGUGUAGGCGGCCGUGCAAGUCGGAUGUGAAAUCCCGAGGCUCAACCUCGGAACGGCAUUCGAAACUGCUCGGCUCGAGUCCCGGAGAGGAUGGCGGAAUUCCCGGUGUAGGGGUGAAAUCCGUAGAUAUCUGGAGGAACACCGGUGGCGAAGGCGACAUCCUGGACCGGUAUUGACGCUGAGGCGCGAAAGCCAGGGGAGCAAACGGG
rnacentral:rRNA from 1 species